GACGAACGCUGGCGGCGUGCUUAACACAUGCAAGUCGAACGGAAAGGCCCUGCUUUUGUGGGGUGCUCGAGUGGCGAACGGGUGAGUAACACGUGAGUAACCUGCCCUUGACUUUGGGAUAACUUCAGGAAACUGGGGCAAUACCGGAUAGGAGCUCCUGCUGCAUGGUGGGGGUUGGAAAGUUUCGGCGGUUGGGGAUGGACUCGCGGCUUAUCAGCUUGUUGGUGGGGUAGUGGCUUACCAAGGCUUUGACGGGUAGCCGGCCUGAGAGGGUGACCGGCCACAUUGGGACUGAGAUACGGCCCAGACUCCUACGGGAGGCAGCAGUGGGGAAUAUUGCACAAUGGGCGGAAGCCUGAUGCAGCAACGCCGCGUGCGGGAUGACGGCCUUCGGGUUGUAAACCGCUUUCGCCUGUGACGAAGCGUGAGUGACGGUAAUGGGUAAAGAAGCACCGGCUAACAACGUG
rnacentral:rRNA from 1 species